rnacentral:rRNA from 1 species
AAGCCAUGCAUGUCUAAGUAUAAACAAAUCUAUACUGUGAAACUGCUAAUGGCUCAUUAUAUCAGUUAUAGUUUAUUUGGUGGUUCUUGCUACUUGGAUAACCGUAGUAAUUCUAGAGCUAAUACAUGCACCAAACCUCGACUUUUUUGGAAGAGGUGUAUUUAUUAGAUGGAAACCAAUGCGGGGCAACCCGGAUUCAGGUGAUUCAUAAUAACUUUCGGAUCGAUCUUCGGAUCGAUGCAUCAUUCAAGUUUCUGCCCUAUCAGCUUUGGAUGGUAGGGUAUUGGCCUACCAUGGCUUUAACGGGUAACGGAGAAUUAGGGUUCGAUUCCGGAGAGGGAGCCUGAGAAACGGCAACCACAUCCAAGGAAGGCAGCAGGCGCGUAAAUUACCCAAUCCUGACACAGGGAGGUAGUGACAAUAAAUAACAAUGCCGGGCCUUUUUAAGUCUGGCAAUUGGAAUGAGAACAAUUUAAAUCCCUUAUCGAGGAUCAAUUGGAGGGCAAGUCUGGUGCCAGCAGCCGCGGUAAUUCCAGCUCCAAUAGCGUAUACUAAAGUUGUUGCAGUUAAAAAGCUCGUAGUUGAAUUUCUGGUCGUGGCGAUCGGUCCGCCCCUCACGGGGUGUGCACCAGGUCUCUACGUCCAUCCUCGGGGAGAGCACGUCUGGCAUUUAGUUGUCGGGCGUGGGAUCCUCGUCAUUUACUGUGAGCAAAAUAGAGUGUUCAAAGCAGGCUUAGGCCGUUGAAUACAUUAGCAUGAAUAAUAAGAUAGGACCUUGGUCUAUUUUGUUGGCUUGCAUU